AGUCACUGACAUUAGAUACCCGUGUAGUCCAGGGUGUAAACGCUGCAGACUUGGUGUUGGAAGCCCUUUGGGGGCAUUCAGUGCCGGAGAGAAGUUGUUAAGUCUGCUACUUGGGAGUACGUCCGCAAGGAUGAAACUUAAAGGAAUUGGCGGGGGAGCACCGCAACGGGAGGAGCGUGCGGUUUAAUUGGAUUCAACACCGUAAAACUCACCAGGGAAGACUGUUACAUGAAGGCCGAGAUGAAGACUCUGCCAGAUUUUCAG
rnacentral:rRNA from 1 species